UACGGAGGGCGCAAGCGUUGUUCGGAAUCACUGGGCGUAAAGCGCGUGCAGGCGGCUUGGUAAGUCGGAUGUGAAAUCCUGGAGCUCAACUCCAGAACUGCCUUCGAUACUGAGAGUCUUGAGUCCGGGAGAGGUGAGUGGAACUGCGAGUGUAGAGGUGAAAUUCGUAGAUAUUCGCAAGAACACCAGUGGCGAAGGCGGCUCACUGGCCCGGUACUGACGCUGAGGUGCGAAAGCGUGGGGAGCAAACAGG
rnacentral:rRNA from 1 species